GUCAGGCAUGGUGGCGGGUGCCUGUAAUCCCAGCUACUUGGAGGCUGAGGCAAGAGAAUUGCUUGAACCCGGGAGGUGGAGAUUGCAGUGAGCUGAGAUCGUGCCACUGCACUCCAUCCUGGGCAACAGAGCAAGACUCUGUCUCAA
rnacentral:sRNA from 1 species